UACGUAGGGAGCAAGCGUUGUCCGGAAUCAUUGGGCGUAAAGCGCGCGUAGGUGGCUUCGUAAGUCCGUUGUGAAAGUCAAAGGCUCAACCUUUGAAAGCCGAUGGAUACUGCGGAGCUAGAGUACGGAAGAGGCGAGUGGAAUUCCUGGUGUAGCGGUGGAAUGCGCAGAUAUCAGGAGGAACACCAAUAGCGAAGGCAGCUCGCUGGGACGUUACUGACACUGAGGCGCGAAAGCAUGGGGAGCGAACAGG
rnacentral:rRNA from 1 species